AAGCCAGAUUUUAUUACCGUUGAUGAUUGGAUUGAAAUAAAGAGAAUUUGGGAGAGUGAAAAAAAUAAGCAAAGGAGUGAACAAAAUGCCAAGAAUCGGGCUUCUACUUCUAGUGAAGGGUCUGCGACAUAUGCUCGGGGCUCUAUCAAUAUUGGGGAGCACAGAAAAAGAAUGGCACAUGAAUUGGGGAUGGAACCGACAUAUGCAACUACGUUUGAACGCACAUUUCAAAAGAAAGAUAAGACAUGGAUUGGCGACCGAGCAAAAUCUGUUAAGGAAAAAUAUGAUGAGCUUUUAAUGAGUACGGCUAGUGGCGGUGCUGAUGGGGUUGCGUCCGAGCCAGCAGUUGACAAUAUGGCAUUAUGAGUGGAGGCAUCGGGUGGGAUGAAAAGAGGAAAAAUAUUUGGGAUGGGAUCUUUAUCAAGGGUAUACACAUCAAAGGGUGCUGGCAGUUCAUCCUCCAAUCCGACUAUUUCAAGGAGGACACGACUUGAGGAGGAAAUGACCCAACAUAUGAACCAAUUAAGACAUUUACUUGUACAGAAGGACGAAGAAAUAAAAGUGGUCAAAGAUCAAAUGUCACAGAAGGAUGAGCAAAUCAGACAGGUCAAUGAGCAACAUAA